rnacentral:rRNA from 1 species
GGAUGCGAUCAUACCAGCACUAAUGCACCGGAUCCCAUGAGAACUCCGAAGUAAAGCGUGCUUGGGCGAGAGUAGUACUAGGAUGGGUGACCCCCUGGGAAGUCCUCGUGUUGCAUCCCCNN